GACGUGCCUGUGGUGAUGUGAAGUGUCAGUGUUACCCGCUUUGGGAUACGAUCUUGAAUGUCUCCUCCAAGAAAGGAUUAAACCGUGUGCAAGAAUC